GACGAACGCUGGCGGCGUGCUUAACACAUGCAAGUCGAACGGAAAGGCCCUGCUUUUGUGGGGUGCUCGAGUGGCGAACGGGUGAGUAACACGUGAGUAACCUGCCCUUGACUUUGGGAUAACUUCAGGAAACUGGGGCUAAUACCGGAUAGGAGCUCCUGCUGCAUGGUGGGGGUUGGAAAGUUUCGGCGGUUGGGGAUGGACUCGCGGCUUAUCAGCUUGUUGGUGGGGUAGUGGCUUACCAAGGCUUUGACGGGUAGCCGGCCUGAGAGGGUGACCGGCCACAUUGGGAAUGAGGAACGGCCCAGACUCCUUCGGGGGGGCAGCGGGGGGGAAAUUGGACCAUGGGGGGAAGCCUGAUGCAGCAACGCCGCGUGCGGGAUGACGGCCUUCGGGUUGUAAACCGCUUUCGCCUGUGACGAAGCGUGAGUGACGGUAAUGGGUAAAGAAGCACCGGCUAACUACGUG
rnacentral:rRNA from 1 species